rnacentral:rRNA from 1 species
AUGAAACAGCAGGCAGACAAGAAGCGCUCUGAGCGUGUGUUCGAGGUCGGCGACAAGGUUUAUCUGAAACUACAGCCGUAUGUGCAAACUUCAGUGGCCAAACGAGCUAAUCACAAGCUCUCUUUCCGGUAUUAUGGACCAUAUUCCAUCAUCGCCAAGGUCAAUCCAGUAGCUUAUCAACUGGAGCUACCAUCAAACACAACUAUUCACCUUGUUUUCCAUGUCUCGCUGUUGAGAAAAGCUGUCCUGCCAGGUACGUCGGUUCAACAACAACUCCCCAUUGCUACUGAUAUACCUUUAGUCCCAGUCCAGGUCCUAGCUUCACGCUGGCGUCGCAAGCAUGGCAGCAUGGUCGAACAAGUCCUGGUUCGAUGGUCUGAUACCACAGCGAUCGGCGACACCUGGGAAGACAAGGAAGAACUACAAGCUCGAUUCCCUGCUGCAGAGGCUUGGGGGCAAGCCUCAUCACAAGAAGGAGGGGGUGUCAAGGCCACACGUAGCCCAACUCCAGCACCCAGCAAUGGGCUGGCCUUGCCUGCAGCUCGGCCCAUCAGACAGAAGCGGCCCAACCGUAACAUCAGCGGCCCCGAUUGGGUGUGA